AGAGUUUGAUCAUGGCUCAGAACGAACGCUGGCGGCGCGCCUAAUACAUGCAAGUCGAGCGAGAAGGUGUAGCAAUACACUUGUAAAGCGGCGAACGGGUGAGGAAUGCAUGGGUAACCUACCCUCGAGUGGGGAAUAACUAGCCGAAAGGUUAGCUAAUACCGCAUACGUUUCCGGAACUUCGGUUUCGGAAAGAAAGCAAUACCGUGGGUAUUGCGCUCCUGGAUGGGCUCAUGUCCUAUCAGCUUGUUGGUGAGGUAACGGCUCACCCAAGGCUUCGACGGGUAGCUGGUCUGAGAGGACGAUCAGCCACACUGGCACUGCGACACGGGCCAGACUCCUACGGGAGGCAGCAGUAAGGAAUAUUGCGCAAUGGACGAAAGUCUGACGCAGCGACGCCGCGUGGGGGAUGAAGGUCUUCGGAUUGUAAACCCCUUUCGGGAGGGAAGAUGGAGUGGGUAACCACUUGGACGGUACCUCCAGAAGCAGCCACGGCUAACUUCGUG
rnacentral:rRNA from 1 species